rnacentral:rRNA from 1 species
CAGUCGCCGCGGUAAUACAGAGGGUGCGAGCGUUAAUCGGAUUUACUGGGCGUAAAGCGUGCGUAGGCGGCUUCUUAAGUCGGAUGUGAAAUCCCUGAGCUUAACUUAGGAAUUGCAUUCGAUACUGGGAAGCUAGAGUAUGGGAGAGGAUGGUAGAAUUCCAGGUGUAGCGGUGAAAUGCGUAGAGAUCUGGAGGAAUACCAAUGGCGAAGGCAGCCAUCUGGCCUAAUACUGACACUGAGGCACGAAAGCGUGGGGAGCAAACAGGAUUAGAUACCCCCGUAGUCCCUGUCUCUUAUAA